CUUUUUGAUAAUAAUUUAAGGUCCGGCCUGCCCAAUGAUUUUUAAAUGGCCGCGGUAUCUUGACCGUGCAAAGGUAGCAUAAUCAUUAGUUUUUUAAUUGAAAGCUGGAAUGAAAGGUUAGAUGAGAAAAUAGCUGUCUCUAUUUGAAUUUAUUAGAAUUUUAUUUUUAAGUAAAAAAGCUUAAAUAUUUAUAAAAGACGAGAAGACCCUAUAGAGUUUUAUAGUUUUAUUAUUUAGAGUUUUUAGUAUUAUAAUAUUUAUAAAAUAAAAUUAUUUAGUUGGGGUGAUUGAAAAAUUAAAUUAACUUUUUUUUUAUAUAAACAUUAAUUUAUGAUUAUAUGAUCCUUUUAUUUAGAUUAUAAGAAUAAAUUACCUUAGGGAUAACAGCGUAAUUUUUUUUGAGAGUUCAAAUCGAAAAAAAAGAUUGCGACCUCGAUGUUGGAUUAAAAUUAAUUUUUGGUGUAGGAGCUGAA
rnacentral:rRNA from 1 species